rnacentral:rRNA from 1 species
UACGGGAGGCAGCAGGGGGAAUAUUGCACAAUGGGCGAAAGCCUGAUGCAGCUAUGCCGCGUGUAUGAAGAAGGCCUUAGGGUUGUAAAGUACUUUCAUCGGGGAGGAAAAACAAAACUAAUAAUUUUAUUUCUUGACGUUACCCGAAAAAGAAGCACCGGCUAACUCCGUGCCAGCAGCCGCGGUAAUACGGAGGGUGCUAGCGUUAAUCAGAAUUACUGGGCGUAAAGAGCACGUAGGUGGUUUUUUUAAGUUCAGAUGUGAAAUCCCUGGGCUUAACCUAGGAACUGCAUUUUGAAACUGAAAUACUAGAGUAUCGUAGAGGGAGGUAGAAUUCUAGGUGUAGCGGUGAAAUGCGUAGAUAUCUGGAGGAAUACCUGUGGCGAAAGCGGCCUCCUAAACGAAUACUGACACUGAGGUGCGAAAGCGUGGGGAGCAAACAGGGAUUAGAUACC